rnacentral:rRNA from 1 species
GACGAACGCUGGCGGCGUGCCUAAUGCAUGCAAGUCGCACGCGGCACCUUCGGGUGCUGAGUGGCGAACGGCUGAGGAACACGUGGGGACCUGUCCGGGAGUGGGGGACAACACCGCGAAAGCGGUGCUAAUCCCGCAUACGCUCUGAGGAGGAAAGCCGAAAGGCGCUCCCGGGUGGCCCUGCGGCCCAUCAGGUUGUUGGUGGGGUAACGGCCUACCAAGCCAAUGACCGGUCGCUGGUCUGUGAGGACGACCAGCCAGACUGGGACGGGGACACGGCCCAGAAUCCUACGGGAGGGAGCAGAAAGGAAUUUUCGGCAAUGGGCGCAAGCGUGACCGAGCAACGCCGCGUGCAGGAAGACGGCCUUCGGGUUGUAAACUGCUUUUGCUAGGGAUGAGAACAGACAGUACCUGGCGAAUCAGCCCCGGCUAACUCUGUG